rnacentral:rRNA from 1 species
GUGUCAGCCGCCGCGGUAAUACGUAGGGUGCAAGCGUUAAUCGGAAUUACUGGGCGUAAAGCGUGCGCAGGCGGUUCGGAAAGAAAGAUGUGAAAUCCCAGGGCUUAACUUUGGAACUGCAUUUUUAACUACCGGGCUAGAGUGUGUCAGAGGGAGGUGGAAUUCCGCGUGUAGCAGUGAAAUGCGUAGAUAUGCGGAGGAACACCGAUGGCGAAGGCAGCCUCCUGGGAUAACACUGACGCUCAUGCACGAAAGAGUGGGGAGAAAACAGGAUUAGAUGCCAUGGUAGCCCACGCACUAAACGAUGUCAACUAGCUGUUGGGGCCUUCGGGCCUUGGUAGCGAAGCUAACGCGUGAAGUGGACCGCCUGGGGAGUACGGGCGCAAGAUUAAAACUUAAAUGAAUUGACGGGG